GCCUCCGUAGCUCAGCUGGUAGAACUCCUUCGCAUUAUGUAUUCGGAAUUCAAAGUUUUCUGGAGGAGAUGUGGGUUCGAAUCCCGCCGGAGGCA